GACAGAGGGUGCAAACGUUGCUCGGAAUUACUGGGCGUAAAGCGCGUGUAGGUGGAUCGAUAAGUCGGGCGUGAAAUCCCUAGGCUCAACCUAGGAACUGCACUCGAAACUGCCGGUCUUGAGUAAUGGAGAGGAAAGUGGAAUUCCUGGUGUAGAGGUGAAAUUCGUAGAUAUCAGGAGGAACAUCGGUGGCGAAGGCGACUUUCUGGACAUUUACUGACACUGAGACGCGAAAGCGUGGGGAGCAAACAGG
rnacentral:rRNA from 1 species